rnacentral:tRNA from 1 species
GCGGCCAUGGUGUAAUGGUCAACACAAGAGAUUGUGGCUCUCUUGAUCCGGGUUCGAUUCCCGGUGGUCGCCCCA